rnacentral:rRNA from 1 species
GAUGAACGCUAGCUACAGGCUUAACACAUGCAAGUCGAGGGGCAGCAUUGGAGUAGCAAUACUUCAGAUGGCGACCGGCGCACGGGUGAGUAACACGUAUCCAACCUGCCGCUUACUCGGGGAUAGCCUUUCGAAAGAAAGAUUAAUACCCGAUGGUAUAAAGAGUUCGCAUGUUCUCUUUAUUAAAGAAUUUCGGUAAGCGAUGGGGAUGCGUUCCAUUAGAUAGUUGGCGGGGUAACGGCCCACCAAGUCUACGAUGGAUAGGGGUUCUGAGAGGAAGGUCCCCCACAUUGGAACUGAGACACGGUCCAAACUCCUACGGGAGGCAGCAGUGAGGAAUAUUGGUCAAUGGACGAGAGUCUGAACCAGCCAAGUAGCGUGAAGGAUGACUGCCCUAUGGGUUGUAAACUUCUUUUAUAAGGGAAUAAAGUGAGGGACGUGUCCCUUUUUGUAUGUACCUUAUGAAUAAGGAUCGGCUAACUCCGUGCCAGCAGCCGCGGUAAUACGGAGGAUCCGAGCGUUAUCCGGAUUUAUUGGGUUUAAAGGGAGCGUANGUUGACGUAUAAGUCAGCUGUGAAAGUUUACGGCUCAACCGUGAAAUUGCAGUUGAUACUGUAUGUCUUGAGUGUACAAGAGGUGGGCGGAAUUCGUGGUGUAGCGGUGAAAUGCUUAGAUAUCACGAAGAACUCCAAUUGCGAAGGCAGCUCACUGGGGUACAACUGACACUGAGCUCGAAAGUGUGGGUAUCAAACAGGAUUAGAUACCCUGGUAGUCCACACAGUAAACGAUGAAUACUCGCUGUUUGCGAUAUACAGUAAGCGGCCAAGCGAAAGCAUUAAGUAUUCCACCUGGG